GGACGCGCAACGAUCUUGAUUUGCUCCUAAUGACCUCAGCUCCCGCGGUCUCGAAGACCGUUGUAGAUUAACCCCUACCGUGGGUUCGAAUCCCACCCGUCCGCCA
rnacentral:tRNA from 1 species